rnacentral:rRNA from 1 species
GGAAGGCCUUUGGGUUGUAAACCUCUUUUCUCAGGGAAGAAGAUCUGACGGUACCUGAGGAAUAAGCAUCGGCUAACUCCGUGCCAGCAGCCGCGGUAAUACGGAGGAUGCAAGCGUUAUCCGGAAUUAUUGGGCGUAAAGCGUCCGCAGGUGGUCUUUCAAGUCUGCUGUCAAAGACCAGAGCUUAGCUCUGGGCAGGCGGUGGAAACUGAGAGACUAGAGUUCGGUAGGGGUAGCGGGAAUUCCCAGUGUAGCGGUGAAAUGCGUAGAUAUUGGGAAGAACAUCGGUGGCGAAGGCGUGCUACUGGACCGAAACUGAC